rnacentral:rRNA from 1 species
UACGUAGGGCGCAAGCGUUGUCCGGAAUUAUUGGGCGUAAAGAGCUCGUAGGCGGCUUGUCGCGUCUGCUGUGAAAUUCCGAGGCUCAACCUCGGGCGUGCAGUGGGUACGGGCAGGCUAGAGUGCGGUAGGGGAGAUUGGAAUUCCUGGUGUAGCGGUGGAAUGCGCAGAUAUCAGGAAGAACACCGAUGGCGAAGGCAGGUCUCUGGGCCAUUACUGACACUGAGAAGCGAAAGCAUGGGGAGCGAACAGG